ACCCUUAUCGGUGGAUCACUAGGCUCGUGGAUCGAUGAAGAACGCAGCAAACUGCGAUAAUUAUUGCGAACUGCAGAAGUAUUGAGCACAAAAGUUUUGAACGCAAAUGGCCGCAUUGAGGUCAAACUCUUUGCAACGUCUGGUUCAGGGUCAUUUUCUCUUAUAGCGGAAGCUUUAAUUUCUAUAAUGAUGUUGUUGCUUUAUAUUUUAAAAGGAUUUUUGUUUAUUCAUGUAUUAAAUCUAACUGUGAAAAUCAAACAAUUUUGACCUGAACUCAGUCGAGAGCACCCGCUGAACUUAAGCAUAUCAGUAAGCGGAGGAAAAGAAACUAAAUAGGAUUCCCCAGUAACGGCGAGUGAAAAGGGAAAAGUCCAUCGCUAAAUCGUUUUGCCUCAGGCAUUAUGAGGUGUAGCGUAUAAGUCGUAAACUUUGAUCUUUUGUCUCAAACAAGUCCCUUGAUAGAGGUUCCACAGAAGGUGCAAGUCCUGUACGUUGAGAUAAUUGAUCGAUAUUUGCGUGCUUUAGAGUCGGGUUGUUUGGGAUCGCAGCCCAAAGUCGGUGGUAAACUUCAUCUAAGACUUAAUAUUGCCACGAGACCGAUAGCAAACAAGUACUGUGAAGGAAAGUUGCAAAGCACUUUGAAGAGAGAGUUAAAGAGGACGUGAAACCGGUAAGGUGGAAACGGAUAGAGUCGGCGUAUCAUUCAAUUAUUCAGUUACAUUAUUUUUAUGUUGUGACCUCUGAGCUCCAGAUUGGGACAGAGGGAAUCAGCAUAAUUUUUUGUGGUGCAUUUACUUGAUUGGUGCUUGGGGAUGUUUGAGGCAGAUUUGUUUCCGUCGUUUUGAGGCCAGCUGCUGGUACCCAAACGGUGUUAGCAUUUUUUGUCUUGGGCAUUUGAGUAUGGCUCACGUGUAUUUAUUGGACAGAUCUGAGUGUAAGUUACGGUCGCAUGCGACACGUGCUUUUCAAUUAGUUCGGUCCAGUUAAUGCUCUCGUACUCGUUCCCCAUGUAAAAGCCGGUCAUCUAUCCGACCCGUCUUGAAACACGGACCAAGGAGUUUAUCGUGUGCGCAAGUUUUUGGGUGUUAAAAACUUAAAAGCGAAAUGAAAGUAAAUGACUCUUUAGAGUCUGAUGUGCGAUCUUGUAAAAAAGUGUAGCAUGGCCCCAUUCUAACUGUUUACAGUAGGGUGGCGGAAGAGCGUACGCGGUGAGACCCGAAAGAUGGUGAACUAUUCCUGAGCAGGACGAAGCCAGAGGAAACUCUGGUGGAAGUCCGAAGCGGUUCUGACGUGCAAAUCGAUCGUCUGACUUGGGUAUAGGGGCGAAAGACUAAUCGAACCAUCUAGUAGCUGGUUCCCUCUGAAGUUUCCCCCAGGAUAGCUGGAGCUCAAGAGUAGUUAUACUCGGUAAAGCGAAUGAUUAGAGGACUUGGGAACGAAAUGUUCUUAACCUAUUCUCAAACUCUAAAUGGUUAUGAUGUCAAAGUUGCUUGAUUUUGAACUUUGGCGUUGAAUACGAGCUCCAAGUGGGCCAUUUUUGGUAAGCAGAACUGGCGAUGUGGGAUGAACCAAACGCGGAGUUGCGGUGCCAAAGUAUCCGCUCAUUAGACCCCAUAAAAGGUGUUGGUUGAUACAGACAGCAGGACGGUGGCCAUGGAAGUCGGAAUCCGCUAAGGAGUGUGUAACAACUCACCUGCCGAAUCAACUAGCCCUGAAAAUGGAUGGCGCUGGAGCGGGUCACCUAUACUCUGCCGUCAUAAGCUUGUAUUUUGUUAAAAAGUCUUGCAAUGACGUGUAAGAGGGUCGUAGUGGUUGCGUUGAAGGCUUUGGGUGUGCACCCAGCUGGAGCUUCCACUAGUGCAGAUCUUGGUGGUAGUAGCAAAUAUUCAAGUGAGAUCCUUGAAGACUGAAGUGGAGAAGGGUUCCACGUGAACAGCAGUUGAAUGUGGGUCAGUCGAUCCUAAGGCACCGGCUAAAGCCGUCUAGACACUGCGGGGAGAUGAGAUACUUAACGGUAACUUGUCUACCUGGUUGCCGAAAGGGAAGUGGGUUAAUAUUCCCACACCAGGCAUGGGAGAUUGUGAUCCGCGAGGAUUACUUUGCGCGGUGACGCAAACGAACUCGCAGACCUCGUGUGGAGUCCGGGCCAGAGUUCUCUUUUCUGGUUUAGAGAUCAUGUCCCUGGAAGUGGCUCAGCCUGAGAUAGGGAUACUGGUCUUGUAAAGCGCAGCGGUUCCUGUUGUGUCCCGUGUGCUCCACAUGAGCCCCAGUAUCUGGCCCGAUUCCCAGGACGUCUCCGUUCCAAGUACUAAGGAAGCCCAGCGUUGCUUAACUUGCCAGAUCGGACGGGAUGGCGUGCUUUCAACGCGGUAUGGUCGU
rnacentral:rRNA from 1 species